GCUAAAAAUCUAGCCCUACUCAACCGAAUACUACACUUUAAUAACUCGUUAAAACUAAAACAUUUUCCCUACUUUAGUAAAGGCGAUCGAAAAAUUAACUGGCGCUAUAACAACAGUACCGCAAGGAAAAAAUGAAAUAAAAAUGAAAUAAAUUUUAAGCACAAAAAAGCAGAGACACCCCCUCGUACCUUUUGCAUCAUGGUUUAACUAGUAAAAUCAAGCAAAAAGCAUUUAAGUUUGACCCCCCGAAACUAAACGAGCUACUUCGGGGCAGCUUUAUGAGCCCCCCCGUCUCUGUUGCAAAAGAGUGGGAUGACCCCCAAGUAGCGGUGACAGACCUAACGAGUUUAGUGAUAGCUGGUUACUUAAGAAAAGGAUUUAAGUCCAACCUAGAGCAUCCUUAAUUUAUUCUAAAUAACUUUAAUGCUCUUAAGACACUCAAACGAGGUACAGCCCGUUUGAAACAGGAUACAACCUAAACUAAUGGGUAAUUCUAAUUAAUAAACAAAACUAAGUGGGCCUAAAAGCAGCCACCUUUAAAAAAGCGUCAAAGCUUACUUUUACCAAUCACCUAAUUCCACAAUCCAACUAGAACCCUUCACCACUAUUAAGUAACUCCAUAAAAAUAUGGAGGCUAUUAUGUUAAAACUAGUAAUAAGAAGAUGACCUUCUCUUUAAUGUAAGUGUAAGUCAGAAAGGACAAACCACUGACAAUUAAACGCUAGUGAGCACAAAACAGUAACACCUCUAGAAAACCCUGUUUUUCCAAACGUUAACCUAACACAAGAACAUUUCAAGAAAGAUUUAAAGAAAAAGAAGGAACUCGGCAAACAUUAACCUCGCCUGUUUACCAAAAACAUCGCCUCUUGCUUAAAUAUAAGAGGUCUAGCCUGCCCAGUGACCUAGUUCAACGGCCGCGGUAUCCUAACCGUGCGAAGGUAGCGUAAUCACUUGUUCUUUAAAUGGGGACUAGUAUGAACGGCAUCACGAGGGUUAUGCUGUCUCCUUUUUCUAAUCAAUGAAACUGAUCUCCCCGUGAAGAAGCGGGCAUAACAAUAUAAGACGAGAAGACCCUAUGGAGCUUUAAACUAUUAUAGCACUGGCCCAUCCACUCCAUGUUUCAGAACUACGACACUCACUAUAGCCUUAAUGACUAUUAGUUUUAGGUUGGGGUGACCGCGGAGCAAAAACUAACCUCCACAUUGAAAAGAACCUUUCUUGAGCCCAAAGCCACGACUUCAAGCACCAACAAACUGACAUACAUUGACCCAAGAAAUUGAGCAACGAACCAAGUUACCCUAGGGAUAACAGCGCAAUCCACUUCAAGAGCCCCUAUCGACAAGUGGGUUUACGACCUCGAUGUUGGAUCAGGGUAUCCCAGUGGCGCAGCCGCUACUAAUGGUUCGUUUGUUUCAACGAUUAAAACCCU
rnacentral:rRNA from 1 species